rnacentral:rRNA from 1 species
UACGAAGGGGGCUAACGUUGCUCGGAAUCACUGGGCGUAAAGCGCACGUAGGCGGCUUGUUAAGUCAGGGGUGAAAUCCUGGAGCUCAACUCCAGAACUGCCUUUGAUACUGGCGAGCUUGAGUUCGGGAGAGGUGAGUGGAACUGCGAGUGUAGAGGUGAAAUUCGUAGAUAUUCGCAAGAACACCAGUGGCGAAGGCGGCUCACUGGCCCGAUACUGACGCUGAGGUGCGAAAGCGUGGGGAGCAAACAGG